rnacentral:rRNA from 1 species
UGGGGGAAUCUUCCGCAAUGGGCGCAAGCCUGACGGAGCAAUGCCGCGUGAGUGAAGAAGGCCUUCGGGUUGUAAACUACUGUCCUCAUCCAAGAGAGAGGCCUGUAGUAACUGACAGACCUAGGACGGUAGAUGAGGAGGAAGCCCCGGCUAACUAUGUGCCAGCAGCCGCGGUAAAACAUAGGGGGCAAGCGUUGUCCGGAAUCACUGGGCGUAAAGGGCGCGCAGGCGGUUUGUUAAGUCAGAUGUGAAAGGUUAGGGCUCAACCCUGAACGUGCACCUGAUACUGGCAGACUUGAGUAUGGAAGAGGUAAGUGGAAUUCCUAGUGUAGCGGUGAAAUGCGUAGAUAUUAGGAGGAACACCAGUGGCGAAGGCGACUUACUGGGCCAUAACUGACGCUGAGGCGCGAAAGCGUGGGGAGCAAACAGGAUUAGAUACCCUGGUAGU